UAGGGAAUCUUCCACAAUGGGCGCAGCCUGAUGGAGCAACGCCGCGUGAGUGAAGAAGGUCUUCGGAUCGUAAACUCUGUUGUUAGAGAAGAACAUGCGAGAGAGUAACUGUUCUUGUAUUGACGGUAUCUAACCAGAAAGCCACGGCUAACUACGUGCCAG
rnacentral:rRNA from 1 species